UUUUUGCUAGACAUAUUCAUUCUCCAUUGUUGUGUGGGUGCCAAAGCUCUCAAAAUAAAAAAUAAAACACAAGUCCUAGAUUUUUAACUUUACUCACAAAAGUUUCUUAACGAAAAACGUUGAGCAUUUUCCGUAGAUCGUUAAUCUAUCUUUGCAUGUUGGAUCAAGAUUCGACAAGUUGUCGAGCUAUCGGGUCGGAGUACCAAGGGAAUUAACGGAGUUGUAUAAAGGAGCAUUGACGGAGUAAUACCGUAGUUAAACGGUUUCUGUGAGUACAUGUUUUUACAUUUCGGUAUUCGUAAAGUCUCCUAUUUUAAUAUACUAUGUGAUAUAUGUGUUGCGGUGUUAUAUGUUUACAUGCCUUGUAUGGAUGUAUGUUUUAUGCAUAUACUAAAUGUAUAUAUUAUUUUGAUAUACAAAGGUACACACAUAGUUUUGAGAAUUAUUAUGCAUUUGCUUAUGCUUGAAUGUGUGUUACAUCGGUUGGCUGUGCUAUCGAUGUCAGGAUUGUGUGUGUGUGUGUUACAUCGGUUGGCUUCGCUAUCGAUGUCAGGAUUGUGUGUGUGUGUUACAUCGGUUGGCUUCGCUAUCGAUGUCAGGAUUGUGUGUGUGUGUGUUACAUCGGUUGGCUUCGCUAUCGAUGUCAGGAUUGUGUGUGUGUGUUACAUCGGUUGGCUUCGCUAUCGAUGUCAGGAUUGUGUAUGUGUGUUACAUCGGUUGGCUUCGCUAUCGAUGUCAGGAUUGUGUGUGUGUGUUACAUCGGUUGGCUUCGCUAUCGAUGUCAGGAUUGUGUGUGUUACAUCGGUUGGCUUCGCUAUCGAUGUCAGGAUUGUGUGUGUGUUACAUCGGUUGGCUUCGCUAUCGAUGUCAGGAUUGUAUGUAUGUUACAUCGGUUGGCUUCGCUAUCGAUGUCAGGUUGUGUGUGUGUGUUACAUCGGUUGGCUUCGCUAUCGAUGUCAGAUGAAUAAGGUUGAUCGGUUGGCUGUGCUAUCGGUCCCUUAAGAUUUAUGUAUGUUGUGGAUAUGGUUGAUCGGUUGGCUGUGCUAUCGGUCCCAUAAGAUUAUGCAUGUAUGAUGUGUUGAUAAGUUUCGCCAUCAAUGUAGAUGGACGAAUUUAAGAAAUGUGGUUUAAUUCAAAGGUCAACGUAUAUGGUUGACAUUCUUUGAUAUUGAAGUCUUGAUUGAAAUAUGUUAUGUGUGAGCUCAGGCUUCAAUUGUUUUAAAGAUGUUUUCAAAGGAUUUCGAAAAUACAUAAAGUUAUUUUAAAUAUAAAACGGUUUUUAACUUUAUGAAAUAUUUAUUUGUAACGGCAUGAACUCACCAGUAUAUCUGACCCACGUUGUGGAAUUAUUUUUCAGGAAAGCUGGUCCGAUUUUGAAGAAGGCUUCCGAACGUUUAUUUCUCGGAAGUCUACUUUGAUAAAAGACUGUAAAGAAGGUUUUAAGUUCUAGUUGUCCGCAGUAGAUUAGUAUAGUCUUAUUGUAUUCAAAUGUUUUAAAGCACAUUUAAACUCUGA